rnacentral:rRNA from 1 species
CGAACGAUGAACCCACUUCGGUGGGGGAUUAGUGGCGAACGGGUGAGUAACACGUGGGCAAUCUGCCCUUCACUCUGGGACAAGCCCUGGAAACGGGGUCUAAUACCGGAUACCACCGUCUCGGGCAUGCUAGGUGGUGAAAAGCUCCGGCGGUGAAGGAUGAGCCCGCGGCCUAUCAGCUUGUUGGUGGGGUAAUGGCCUACCAAGGCGACGACGGGUAGCCGGCCUGAGAGGGCGACCGGCCACACUGGGACUGAGACACGGCCCAGACUCCUACGGGAGGCAGCAGUGGGGAAUAUUGCACAAUGGGCGAAAGCCUGAUGCAGCGACGCCGCGUGAGGGAUGACGGCCUUCGGGUUGUAAACCUCUUUCAGCAGGGAAGAAGCGAAAGUGACGGUACCUGCAGAAGAAGCGCCGGCUAACUACGUGCCAGCAGCCGCGGUAAUACGUAGGGCGCAAGCGUUGUCCGGAAUUAUUGGGCGUAAAGAGCUCGUAGGCGGCUUGUCACGUCGGAUGUGAAAGCCCGGGGCUUAACCCCGGGUCUGCAUUCGAUACGGGCAGGCUAGAGUGUGGUAGGGGAGAUCGGAAUUCCUGGUGUAGCGGUGAAAUGCGCAGAUAUCAGGAGGAACACCGGUGGCGAAGGCGGAUCUCUGGGCCAUUACUGACGCUGAGGAGCGAAAGCGUGGGGAGCGAACAGGAUUAGAUACCCU